rnacentral:rRNA from 1 species
AUGGCUCAGGAUGAACGCUAGCGGCAGGCUAACACAUGCAAGUCGAGGGCAGCGCGAGUAGCAAUACUUGGCGGCGACCGGCGCAAGGUGCGUAACGCGUGAGCAACAUGCCCGUAUCAGGGGGAUAAUCCAGGGAAACUUGGUCUAAAUACCCCAUAGUAAUUUUUGUAAGGCAUCUUAUAAGAUUUAAAGCUUUGGUGGAUACGGAUUGGCUCGCGUGACAUUAGCUGGAUGGUAAGGUAACGGCUUACCAUGGCUAUGAUGUCUAGGGGUUCUGAGAGGAAGGUCCCCCACACUGGAACUGAGACACGGUCCAGACUCCUACGGGAGGCAGCAGUGAGGAAUAUUGGACAAUGGAUGGAAAUCUGAUCCAGCCAUGCCGCGUGAAGGAAAAGAAGGUCCUAUGGAUUGUAAACUUCUUUUGUAUGGGAGCAAUAAGGCCUACGAGUAGGUUGAUGAGAGUACCAUACGAAUAAGCACCGGCUAACUCCGUGCCAGCAGCGGC